rnacentral:rRNA from 1 species
GUGGGGAAUCUUCCGCAAUGGGCGAAAGUCUGACGGAGCAACGCCGCGUGAGUGAAGAAGGUUUUCGGAUCGUAAAGCUCUUUCGUUAGGGACGAACGUGCUCUUUGUGAAUAAUGAGGAGUAAUGACGGUACCUAAAUAAGAAGCCACGGCUAACUACGUGCCAGCAGCCGCGGUAAUACGUAGGUGGCAAGCGUUGUCCGGAAUUAUUGGGCGUAAAGCGCGCGCAGGCGGGAUAUCAAGUCUGUCUUAAAAGUGCGAGGCUCAACCUCGUGAGGGGACAGAAACUGGUAUUCUUGAGUGUCGGAGAGGAAAGUGGAAUUCCAAGUGUAGCGGUGAAAUGCGUAGAGAUUUGGAAGAACACCAGUGGCGAAGGCGACUUUCUGGACGAUGUCUGACGCUGAGGCGCGAAAGCUAGGGGAGCGAACGGGAUUAGAUACCCGGGUAGUCC